AUACGGGGGGUGCAAGCGUUAUUCGGAUUUAUUGGGCGUAAAGGGCGCGUAGGCGGCUUGGUAAGUCAGAUGUGAAAGCCCGGGGCUCAACCCCGGAAGUGCAUUUGAAACUAUCAGGCUUGAGUAUGGGAGAGGGAAGUGGAAUUCCUGGUGUAGAGGUGAAAUUCGUAGAUAUCAGGAGGAAUACCGGUGGCGAAGGCGACUUCCUGGACCAAUACUGACGCUGAGGCGCGAAGGCGUGGGGAGCAAACAGGAUUAGAUACCCUAGUAGUCC
rnacentral:rRNA from 1 species